GCCGACUUAGCUCAGUAGGUAGAGCAACUGACUUGUAAUCAGUAGGUCACCAGUAGUCGGCA
rnacentral:tRNA from 1 species